GGGCAUCGCCCGAGCCCGAACCCCCGGCCCAGGGUCCUGGCGCGCAACGACAUGAGCAUCGCCGAGGAGCUGCUGUACCUGCGCGUGGUGCGUGGCCUAAUGGCCGCCAUGGGCAACAAGGACCACAGCAACAGCCAGCGGCUGGCCAGUCUCACGCUGGAGUACUUCGUGCAGAUGUUCCCCUUGGUGGCAGAGCAUGUGCGCAAGUGCAUGGGGGAGGAACUCUACCAGCUCUUCCUGGCUGCCGACCCGCCCCCCACCUGCAACAUCCCUCUGCCAAGCCCAACUCCAAGUCCAGACUGCCCUGGCACCCCAGCCGGGUCCCCCUUGCUCCUGUCCUCAGAGCAACGCUGAGGACUUGUACAUGAAAAUAGACAGCAUUCAGGCGGACAUCUUGGCGGCCAACAAAGUCAAUGUUACCAAAGGUGAGUGUGGGACGAGGGAAGCCGGGCGCAGGCGCCGCCAGCACAGCUUCACGCCCGCCUUUCCUGCCUGCAGCCCUGUGCCUCCAUGGCAGCUCCCACAGCAUGAACGCUCUCUAUGGCUCGCGUGAUUCAGCUCAGAUGGCCUACCUCACACACUUCGAGGAGGAUGUAGAAUCAAAGGAGUAACAGCCCCUGUGGCAAACCAGGAAUGCCAAGGCUGCGGGGCAGGGAAGCCGGGCAAGAGGAAGGCGCCUGGGGUCAAGCUCAGAGCCACUCCACUUGGCUCCAGGCGGGAGACGGAGAUUAGACACCCCAGAGGGGCAGAGGGAGAGCCGCUGGCUGCGAAGAGUCAAUAAACAGCCUUGAUACCUGUC
rnacentral:sRNA from 1 species